GGUUAAGUGACUAAGCGUACACGGUGGAUGCCUAGGCAGUCAGAGGCGAUGAAGGGCGUGCUAAUCUGCGAAAAGCGUCGGUAAGGUGAUAUGAACCGUUACAACCGGCGAUACCCGAAUGGGGAAACCCAGUGUGUUUCGACACACUAUCAUGUCAUGAAUACAUAGUGGCAUGAGGCGAACCGGGGGAACUGAAACAUCUAAGUACCCCGAGGAAAAGAAAUCAACCGAGAUUCCCCCAGUAGCGGCGAGCGAACGGGGAGGAGCCCAGAACCUGAAUCGGCUUGUGUGUUAGUGGAAGCGUCUGGAAAGUCGCGCAGCAAAGGGUGAUAGCCCCGUACACUAAAAUGCACAGGUCGUGAGUUCGAUGAGUAGGGCGGGACACGUGACAUCCUGUCUGAAUAUGGGGGGACCAUCCUCCAAGGCUAAAUACUCCUGACUGACCGAUAGUGAACCAGUACCGUGAGGGAAAGGCGAAAAGAACCCCGGCGAGGGGAGUGAAAUAGAACCUGAAACCGUGUACGUACAAGCAGUGGGAGCACCUUCGUGGUGUGACUGCGUACCUUUUGUAUAAUGGGUCAGCGACUUAUAUUUUGUAGCAAGGUUAACCGUAUAGGGGAGCCGUAGGGAAACCGAGUCUUAACUGGGCGAAUAGUUGCAAGGUAUAGACCCGAAACCCGGUGAUCUAGCCAUGGGCAGGUUGAAGGUUGGGUAACAUAACUGGAGGACCGAACCGACUAAUGUUGAAAAAUUAGCGGAUGACUUGUGGCUGGGGGUGAAAGGCCAAUCAAACCGGGAGAUAGCUGGUUCUCCCCGAAAGCUAUUUAGGUAGCGCCUCGUGAACUCAUCUUCGGGGGUAGAGCACUGUUUCGGCUAGGGGGCCAUCCCGGCUUACCAAACCGAUGCAAACUCCGAAUACCGAAGAAUGUUAUCACGGGAGACACACGGCGGGUGCUAACGUCCGUCGUGAAGAGGGAAACAACCCAGACCGCCAGCUAAGGUCCCAAAGUCAUGGUUAAGUGGGAAACGAUGUGGGAAGGCAUAGACAGCCAGGAUGUUGGCUUAGAAGCAGCCAUCAUUUAAAGAAAGCGUAAUAGCUCACUGGUCGAGUCGGCCUGCGCGGAAGAUGUAACGGGGCUAAACCAUGCACCGAAGCUGCGGCAGCGACGUUUAGGCGUUGUUGGGUAGGGGAGCGUUCUGUAAGCCGUUGAAGGUGGCCUGUGAGGGUUGCUGGAGGUAUCAGAAGUGCGAAUGCUGACAUAAGUAACGAUAAAGCGGGUGAAAAGCCCGCUCGCCGGAAGACCAAGGGUUCCUGUCCAACGUUAAUCGGGGCAGGGUGAGUCGACCCCUAAGGCGAGGCUGAAAAGCGUAGUCGAUGGGAAACAGGUUAAUAUUCCUGUACUUGGUGUUACUGCGAAGGGGGACGGAGAAGGCUAGGCUAGGCUAGCCGGGCGACGGUUGUCCCGGUUUAAGCGUGUAGGGGGUGUGACCUGGUAAAUCCGGUUGCAUAUCAACCCUGAGGCGUGAUGACGAUGCACUACGGUGCAGAAGUAGUUGAUGCCCUGCUUCCAGGAAAAGCCUCUAAGCUCUAGGUAACAUUAAAUCGUACCCCAAACCGACACAGGUGGUCAGGUAGAGAAUACCAAGGCGCUUGAGAGAACUCGGGUGAAGGAACUAGGCAAAAUGGUGCCGUAACUUCGGGAGAAGGCACGCUGGCAUGUAGGUGAAGUCCUUCGCGGAUGGAGCUGAAGCCAGUCGAAGAUACCAGCUGGCUGCAACUGUUUAAUAAAAACACAGCACUGUGCAAACACGAAAGUGGACGUAUACGGUGUGACGCCUGCCCGGUGCUGGAAGGUUAAUUGAUGGGGUCAGCCGCAAGGCGAAGCUCUUGAUCGAAGCCCCAGUAAACGGCGGCCGUAACUAUAACGGUCCUAAGGUAGCGAAAUUCCUUGUCGGGUAAGUUCCGACCUGCACGAAUGGCGUAAUGAUGGCCAGGCUGUCUCCACCCGAGACUCAGUGAAAUUGAACUCGCUGUGAAGAUGCAGUGUACCCGCGGCAAGACGGAAAGACCCCGUGAACCUUUACUAUAGCUUGACACUGAACAUUGAGCCUUGAUGUGUAGGAUAGGUGGGAGGCUUUGAAGCGUGGACGCCAGUCUGCGUGGAGCCAUCCUUGAAAUACCACCCUUUAAUGUUUGAUGUUCUAACUCGGCCCCAUAAUCUGGGGUGAGGACAGUGUCUGGUGGGUAGUUUGACUGGGGCGGUCUCCUCCCAAAGAGUAACGGAGGAGCACGAAGGUUAGCUAAUCACGGUCGGACAUCGUGAGGUUAGUGCAAAGGCAUAAGCUAGCUUGACUGCGAGAGUGACGGCUCGAGCAGGUACGAAAGUAGGUCUUAGUGAUCCGGUGGUUCUGAAUGGAAGGGCCAUCGCUCAACGGAUAAAAGGUACUCCGGGGAUAACAGGCUGAUACCGCCCAAGAGUUCAUAUCGACGGCGGUGUUUGGCACCUCGAUGUCGGCUCAUCACAUCCUGGGGCUGAAGUAGGUCCCAAGGGUAUGGCUGUUCGCCAUUUAAAGUGGUACGCGAGCUGGGUUUAGAACGUCGUGAGACAGUUCGGUCCCUAUCUGCCGUGGGCGUUGGAAGAUUGAGAGGGGUUGCUCCUAGUACGAGAGGACCGGAGUGAACGCACCACUGGUGUUCGGGUUGUCAUGCCAAUGGCAUUGCCCGGUAGCUAAGUGCGGAAAAGAUAAGCGCUGAAAGCAUCUAAGCGCGAAACUUGCCUCAAGAUGAGUCUUCCCUGGGCCUUUAAGGUCCCUGAAGGAACGUUUAAGACUAAGACGUUGAUAGGCUGGGUGUGUAAGUGCAGCGAUGCAUUGAGCUAACCAGUACUAAUGAUCCGUGAGGCUUAACCUU
rnacentral:rRNA from 1 species